AAUAACCAAAUAUAACACUCGGACUAAGGGGCAAAUUGGUAAUUUUUCUUACAUCUCCCCCAGGGGCCUAGGUAUCAUACACCGCCAAAAUAACUUUUCUCAAAU
rfam:Triticum urartu cultivar G1812 contig1181389, whole genome shotgun sequence.